rnacentral:rRNA from 1 species
UACAGAGGGGGCAAGCGUUGUUCGGAAUUACUGGGCGUAAAGGGCGCGUAGGCGGCCUGCUAAGUCGAACGUGAAAUCCCUGGGCUCAACCCAGGAACUGCGUCCGAUACUGGUUGGCUUGAAUCCGGGAGAGGGAUGUGGAAUUCCAGGUGUAGCGGUGAAAUGCGUAGAUAUCUGGAGGAACACCGGUGGCGAAGGCGACAUCCUGGACCGACACUGACGCUGAGGCGCGAAAGCCAGGGGAGCAAACGGG